rnacentral:tRNA from 1 species
GGGAUUGUAGCUCAGUAAUAGAGCACUUGCCUCACAUGCAUGAGGCCCUGGGUUCGAUCCUCAGCAUCACA